rnacentral:rRNA from 1 species
AGUGAACGCUGGCGGUAGGCCUAACACAUGCAAGUCGAACGGCAGCACAGUAAGAGCUUGCUCUUACGGGUGGCGAGUGGCGGACGGGUGAGGAAUACAUCGGAAUCUACUUUUUCGUGGGGGAUAACGUAGGGAAACUUACGCUAAUACCGCAUACGACCUACGGGUGAAAGCAGGGGAUCUUCGGACCUUGCGCGAUUGAAUGAGCCGCUGUCGGAUUAGCUAGUUGGCGGGGUAAAGGCCCACGAAGGCGACGAUCCGUAGCUGGUCUGAGAGGGUGAUCAGCCACACUGGAAGUGAGACACGGUCCAGACUCCUACGGGAGGCAGCAGUGGGGAAUAUUAGACAAUGGGCGCGAGCCUGAUCCAGCCAUACCGCGUGGGUGAAGAAGGCCUUCGGGUUGUAAAGCCCUUUUGUUGGGAAAGAAAAGCAGCAGGUUAAUACCCCGCUGUUCUGACGGUACCCAAAGAAUAAGCACCGGCUAACUUCGUG